rnacentral:rRNA from 1 species
GGGUAGCGGAGAAAUUCCAAUCGAACCCGGAGAUAGCUGGUUCUCCCCGAAAUAGCUUUAGGGCUAGCGUCGAGGUAGAGAGUUGCGUGAAGGUAGAGCACUGAAUAUGUGAUGGCCCCAUCUCGGGGUACUGAGCAUAAUCAAACUGCGAAUGUCACGGAAACAUACUCGGCAGUCAGACAGCGGGUGAUAAGGUCCGUUGUCAAGAGGGAAACAGCCCAGACCAUCAGCUAAGGUCCCAAAAUGUAUGCUAAGUGGAAAAGGAUGUGGAGAUGUACAGACAACUAGGAGGUUGGCUCAGAAGCAGCCAUCCUUUAAAGAGUGCGUAACAGCUCACUAGUCGAAUGACUCUGCGCCGAUAAUUUACCGGGGCUAAGCAUACUACCGAAGCUAUGGAUCCCAAGGGAUGGUAGGGGAGCGUUCCAUGAACGGAGAAGCGUGAUCGAGAGGACGCGUGGAGAUCAUGGAAGAGAGAAUGCCGGUGUGAGUAGCGGAACGUGGGUGAGAAUCCCACGCACCGAAAACCCAAGGUUUCCAGAGGAAGGUUCGUCCGCUCUGGGUAAGUCGGGACCUAAGGCGAGGCCGAGAGGCGUAGUCGAUGGACAACAGGUAGAGAUUCCUGUACUCAUAUAUAUGUGAAGGAAUGACGGAGAGAGGAAGCUGCAGCCAGCGGCUGGAAGAGCUGGUGCAAGCGAGAUAUCGGGAUGGCAGGCAAAUCCACCAUCCGAAACGAGAAGGCGUGAAGCGUACGGAAAGCUAAGGCGAGUACGGAAGGCAGUGGAGGAGCUUCCAAGAAAAGUUUCUAACGAAAGUAUAUGUGACCCGUACCGAAAAUGGACACACAUGGGUGAGGAGAGAAUCCUAAGGUGAGCGAGAGAACUAUAGCUAAGGAACUCUGCAAAAUGACUCCGUAACUUAGGGAGAAGGAGUGCUCAUAGAGAUAUGAGCCGCAGUGAAACGGCCCAAGCGACUGUUUACCAAAAACACAGCUCUCUGCUAAGCCGCAAGGCGAAGUAUAGGGGGUGACGCCUGCCCGGUGCUGGAAGGUUAAGGGGAGGGGUUAACGCAAGUGAAGCCCUGAACUGAAGCCCCAGUAAACGGCGGCCGUAACUAUAACGGUCCUAAGGUAGCGAAAUUCCUUGUCAGGUAAGUUCUGACCCGCACGAAAGGCGUAACGAUUUGGGCGCUGUCUCAGCUGUAGACUCGGUGAAGUCUUAGUACCUGUGAAGAUGCAGGUUACCCGCGACUAGACGGAAAGACCCCAUGGAGCUUCACUGCAGGUUGAUAUUGGGAUUUGAUGCAGCAUGUACAGGAUAGGUAGGAGGCAAAGAGAUGGAUACGCCAGUAUUCAAGGAGCCGCUGUUGGGAUACUACCCCUGUUGUAUUGGAUUUCUAACCGGACGACGUAAAGCCGUUGACGGGACAGUGUCAGUCGGGCAGUUUGACUGGGGCGGUCGCCUCCCAAAGAGUAACGGAGGCGCCCAAAGAUACCCUCAGCUUGGAUGGAAACCAAGCGCAGAGUGCAAAGGCAAAAGGGUGUUUGACUGCGAGACCUACAAGUCGAGCAGGGACGAAAGUCGGGCUUAGUGAUCCGGCGGUGCUGAAUGGAAAGGCCGUCGCUCAACGGAUAAAAGCUACCCUGGGGAUAACAGGCUGAUCUCCCCCAA